GAUGAACGCUGGCGGCGUGCCUAAUACAUGCAAGUCGAGCGAACAGACGAGGAGCUUGCUCCUCUGACGUUAGCGGCGGACGGGUGAGUAACACGUGGAUAACCUACCUAUAAGACUGGGAUAACUUCGGGAAACCAGAGCUAAUACCGGAUAAUAUAUUGAACCGCAUGGUUCAAUAGUGAAAGACGGUUUUGCUGUCACUUAUAGAUGGAUCCGCGCCGCAUUAGCUAGUUGGUAAGGUAACGGCUUCCCAAGGCAACGAUGCGUAGCCGACCUGAGAGGGUGAUCCGCCACACUGGAGCUGAGACACGGUCCAGACUCCUACGGGAGGCAGCAGUAGGGAAUCUUGCGCAAUGGGCGAAAGCCUGACGGAGCAACGCAGCGUGAGUGAUGAAGGUCUUCGGAUCGUAAAACGCUGUUAUUAGGGAAGAACAAAUGUGUAAGUAACUAUGCACGUCUUGACGGUACCUAAUCAGAAAGCCACGGCUAACUACGUG
rnacentral:rRNA from 1 species